ACUCAAAUGAAUAGACGGGGGCCCGCACAAGCGGAGGAACAUGUGGUUUAAUUCGAUGAUACGCGAGGAACCUUACCCGGGCUUGAAAUGCAUCUGACCGGAGUGGAAACACUCUUUCUAGCAAUAGCAGAUGUGUAGGUGCUGCAUGGUUGUCGUCAGCUCGUGCCGUGAGGUGUCGGCUUAAGUGCCAUAACGAGCGCAACCCACAUUGUUAGUUACUAACAGGUCAAGCUGAGGACUCUGACAAGACUGCCAGCGUAAGCUGUGAGGAAGGUGUGGAUGACGUCAAAUCAGCACGGCCCUUACGUCCGGGGCGACACACGUGUUACAAUGGGGGGUACAAAGGGUUGCUACUAGGCGACUAGAUGCUAAUCUCUAAAGCCCCUCCCAGUUCGGAUUGGAGUCUGCAACUCGACUCCAUGAAGCUGGAUUCGCUAGUAAUCGCGCAUCAGCCAUGGCGCGGUGAAUACGUUCCCGGGCCUUGCACACACCGCCCGU
rnacentral:rRNA from 1 species